GGGGCCGUAGGGUAGACUGGUCCAUCCUUCAAGACUGGGGGUCUUGAGACCCCGAUUCAAAUUCGGGCGGCCCCACCA
rnacentral:tRNA from 2 species